rnacentral:rRNA from 1 species
AACGAACGCUGGCGGCAUGCCUAACACAUGCAAGUCGAACGAGACCUUCGGGUCUAGUGGCGCACGGGUGCGUAACGCGUGGGAACCUGCCCUUAGGUUCGGAAUAACUCCCCGAAAGGGGUGCUAAUACCGGAUAAUGUCUUCGGACCAAAGAUUUAUGGCCUUUGGAUGGGCCCGCGUUGGAUUAGCUAGUUGGUAGGGUAAAAGCCUACCAAGGCGACGAUCCAUAGCUGGUCUGAGAGGAUGAUCAGCCACACUGGGACUGAGACACGGCCCAAACUCCGGCGGAGGGGCGAAGGGGGGAUUUUGGGACAAGGGGCGAAAGCCUGACCCCGCAAGGCCGUGAGGGUGAUGAAGGCUUUAGGGUUGGAAAGCUCUUUUCCCCGGGAUGUUAAGAACAGAACCGGAGAAAAAAGCCCCGGUAACCUCCUG